rnacentral:rRNA from 1 species
AUUCCAGCGAUACGCGCCGCUUUGCGGAACGAGAAGUGCGUCUGGUCUGAGCAGUACACGACGAGGUCGCCGAUCCUCCCCCAGCCAACCUCCGCGAGCUUCCGGUCCCUAGCGGCGACAAGGGCGCAGAGUAUGGCCUCGCAGGACGUACCCAGCAGCGUGCCUCCGCCGCCUCCGGCGAACAGAAGGCUUGCUGGCAGGUGGAGCGCCUUGCCGAGCCAGUCCACAACGACCAUCUCGAGCUCCGCGGCGGCAGGCGAGGCGGCCCAUGUGAACGGCACGACGUUGAUGCCGGCGAUCAGCGCCUCGCCUAGGGCACCGGCGGUGCUGCUCGACGCUGGGAAAUGAGCGAAAUGGCGAGGGCUCUGCCAGUGCGUCAUUCCCGGCAGGAUGAGGUCGCGGAUGUCCUGCAGCGCGGAGGCCCAGGCGUCGGGCUCCGGCAUGGGCGGCGCGUCGGUGGGGAGCUGGUCGCGCAGGAAACCAGGGGUGACAUUCGGGCGGACUGGGUGGUCUCCCAUGCCGGACCAGUAG